GAGUGGAGCUAUAUAAAAUGGAUAAGAUAUUUUUUGUUUUAUAAUAUAUAGUAUGUAGGAUUAAAAGAAGCUAGUAAAUUGAUGAAUAGAUAGUUUAGAAGGCAAGAUGGAUGAUGUAGCCAGAAAAAGUAAUUAUCAUCAAUUAUGUAGUGGUUGGCAUUUUGAGGAAAAACAUACGUAGUUUGAAGAAGAAGUAGAAAGAGUUAGAUUGUGAUAGUCAUAGGUCAGGGUAAGCUUGGUACUACCCCUUUGUUUCUUUGUUUUCUUACAUAAGAAGAAUAAUAGAUAGAAUUUGAAUAACGUGAAAUGAAAUUUUAGAAUAAAAAAAAGAUUUGAUUUAGAUGAUGUCAAAUAAAAAAUUAAAUUUAAUACAUAUUGAAU
rnacentral:lncRNA from 1 species